CUCGUUGCCCAUUUGAACAAGUUAUCACAACGUUACUGAACUUCCGAAGGAUGUUCAAUCAAGCCCUAGAGGAGAACCGGAAGCAGGUGGAGUUUGAGAGAAAGAAAGCAGAGAAGGAAGCAAUGGAGAAGCAGAAGAUGAGUCAUUCGGAGAAAACUUGACACCGUCCGAAACAAUGUAUUAUAUGAAAAGAGCAUGAGCAUGUCUUCGUUGAAAACAUGAAAGCAACUUUUCUUCGUCAUGGCAAAACUUCAUUGAGAUUGAAGAUUUCAUGGGGAGCGAGAAAUCUGUUAUCUGACUGAUAUAAAGAACGAUGCACAUUUCUCUGCAGAAAAACUGGAUACCGUUGGUUUAGGUUCGAUGCCACCCACAGAGUACUUCUAUCCUUGUUUAUGAGAGAAUCUUAAGAGUAUGCAGAUGGAAUUACUUUGGGG
rnacentral:misc_RNA from 1 species